CAGUCGAGCGGACAGAUGGGAGCUUGCUCCCUGAUGUUAGCGGCGGACGGGUGAGUAACACGUGGGUAACCUGCCUGUAAGACUGGGAUAACUCCGGGAAACCGGGGCUAAUACCGGAUGCUUGUUUGAACCGCAUGGUUCAGACAUAAAAGGUGGCUUCGGCUACCACUUACAGAUGGACCCGCGGCGCAUUAGCUAGUUGGUGAGGUAACGGCUCACCAAGGCGACGAUGCGUAGCCGACCUGAGAGGGUGAUCGGCCACACUGGGACUGAGACACGGCCCAGACUCCUACGGGAGGCAGCAGUAGGGAAUCUUCCGCAAUGGACGAAAGUCUGACGGAGCAACGCCGCGUGAGUGAUGAAGGUUUUCGGAUCGUAAAGCUCUGUUGUUAGGGAAGAACAAGUGCCGUUCAAAUAGGGCGGCACCUUGACGGUACCUAACCAGAAAGCCACGGCUAACUACGUGCCAGCAGCCGCGGUAAUACGUAGGUGGCAAGCGUUGUCCGGAAUUAUUGGGCGUAAAGGGCUCGCAGGCGGUUUCUUAAGUCUGAUGUGAAAGCCCCCGGCUCAACCGGGGAGGGUCAUUGGAAACUGGGGAACUUGAGUGCAGAAGAGGAGAGUGGAAUUCCACGUGUAGCGGUGAAAUGCGUAGAGAUGUGGAGGAACACCAGUGGCGAAGGCGACUCUCUGGUCUGUAACUGACGCUGAGGAGCGAAAGCGUGGGGAGCGAACAGGAUUAGAUACCCUGGUAGUCCACGCCGUAAACGAUGAGUGCUAAGUGUUAGGGGGUUUCCGCCCCUUAGUGCUGCAGCUAACGCAUUAAGCACUCCGCCUGGGGAGUACGGUCGCAAGACUGAAACUCAAAGGAAUUGACGGG
rnacentral:rRNA from 1 species